rnacentral:rRNA from 1 species
GCACAGUGCUGUACCAGCCUGAAUUCUGAUCCCAUUGGAUCUCAGACUAAGCGGAACAGGGCCUGGUUAGUACUUGAAUGCGUAGCCUCAAAGGAGAACAAAAGAAUUGGGCA